rnacentral:tRNA from 1 species
GUUGGCUGAUCGCAUUGUGAUGCUUGACCACCUCACGCGUGGUCGCAUGAUGUUUGGUGCUGGCCCCGGACAGUUGACA